AUACGUAGGGGGCGAGCGUUGUCCGGAAUGAUUGGGCGUAAAGGGCGCGUAGGCGGCCCGGUAAGUCUGGAGUGAAAGUCCUGUUUUUAAGAUGGGAAUAGCUUUGGAUACUGUCGGGCUUGAGUGCAGGAGAGGUAAGUGGAAUUCCCAGUGUAGCGGUGAAAUGCGUAGAGAUUGGGAGGAACACCAGUGGCGAAGGCGACUUACUGGACUGUAACUGACGCUGAGGCGCGAAAGUGUGGGGAGCAAACAGGAUUAGAUACCCUGGUAGUCCACACUGUAAACGAUGAAUGCUAGGUGUAGGGAGUAUCGACCCCUUCUGUGCCGCAGUCAACACAAUAAGUAUUCCGCCUGGGGAGUACGGCCGCAAGGUUGAAACUCAAAUGAAUUGGCGGGG
rnacentral:rRNA from 1 species